rnacentral:rRNA from 1 species
GAUUGAACGCUGGCGGCAGGCUUAACACAUGCAAGUCGAGCGGAGCGAGGGUGCUUGCACCUUAGCUUAGCGGCGGACGGGUGAGUAAUGCUUAGGAAUCUGCCUAUUAGUGGGGGACAACAUUCCGAAAGGAAUGCUAAUACCGCAUACGCCCUACGGGGGAAAGCAGGGGAUCUUCGGACCUUGCGCUAAUAGAUGAGCCUAAGUCAGAUUAGCUAGUUGGUGGGGUAAAGGCCUACCAAGGCGACGAUCUGUAGCGGGUCUGAGAGGAUGAUCCGCCACACUGGGACUGAGACACGGCCCAGACUCCUACGGGAGGCAGCAGUGGGGAAUAUUGGACAAUGGGGGGAACCCUGAUCCAGCCAUGCCGCGUGUGUGAAGAAGGCCUUUUGGUUGUAAAGCACUUUAAGCGAGGAGGAGGCUACCGAGAUUAAUACUCUUGGAUAGUGGACGUUACUCGCAGAAUAAGCACCGGCUAACUCUGUGCCAGCAGCCGCGGUAAUACAGAGGGUGCGAGCGUUAAUCGGAUUUACUGGGCGUAAAGCGUGCGUAGGCGGCUUUUUAAGUCGGAUGUGAAAUCCCUGAGCUUAACUUAGGAAUUGCAUUCGAUACUGGGAAGCUAGAGUAUGGGAGAGGAUGGUAGAAUUCCAGGUGUAGCGGUGAAAUGCGUAGAGAUCUGGAGGAAUACCGAUGGCGAAGGCAGCCAUCUGGCCUAAUACUGACGCUGAGGUACGAAAGCAUGGGGAGCAAACAGGAUUAGAUACCCUGGUAGUCCAUGCCGUAAACGAUGUCUACUAGCCGUUGGGGCCUUUGAGGCUUUAGUGGCGCAGCUAACG